GGGUCUAUAGUUAAAGUUUAUAAUGGGAGUUUUGUAAACUUCAGUUAAAUGGUUUUUUUGGACCCA
rnacentral:tRNA from 1 species